rnacentral:rRNA from 1 species
CCUACGGGCUGCAGCAGUGGGGAAUAUUGCACAAUGGGCGCAAGCCUGAUGCAGCCAUGCCGCGUGUAUGAAGAAGGCCUUAGGGUUGUAAAGUACUUUCAGUUGGGAGGAAGGCGUUGAUGCUAAUAUCAUCAGCGAUUGACGUUACCAACAGAAGAAGCACCGGCUAACUCCGUGCCAGCAGCCGCGGUAAUACGGAGGGUGCAAGCGUUAAUCGGAAUUACUGGGCGUAAAGCGCACGCAGGCGGUUGGUUAAGUUAGAUGUGAAAUCCCCGGGCUUAACCUGGGAAUGGCAUCUAAGACUGGUCAGCUAGAGUCUUGUAGAGGGGGGUAGAAUUCCAUGUGUAGCGGUGAAAUGCGUAGAGAUGUGGAGGAAUACCGGUGGCGAAGGCAGCCCCCUGACAAAGACUGACGCUCAGGUGCGAAAGCGUGGGGAGCAAACAGGAUUCGAUACCCCCGUAGUC